rnacentral:rRNA from 1 species
UACGAGGGGGGCGAGCGUUGUUCGGAAUUAUUGGGCGUAAAGGGUGCGUAGGCGGUUUGGUAAGUCUUAUGUGAAAUCUACAGGCUCAACUUGUAGUCUGCAUGAGAAACUGCCGGGCUUGAGUAUGGGAGAGGUGAGUGGAAUUCCUGGUGUAGCGGUGAAAUGCGUAGAUAUCAGGAGGAACACCUGUGGCGAAAGCGGCUCACUGGACCAUAACUGACGCUGAUGCACGAAAGCUAGGGAGCAAACAGG